CAUAUCAAUAAGCGGAGGAAAAGAAACUAACAAGGAUUCCCCUAGUAACUGCGAGUGAAGCGGGAAAAGCUCAAAUUUAAAAUCUGGCGGUCUUUUGGCUGUCCGAGUUGUAAUCUAGAGAAGUGUUAUCCGCGCUGGACCGUGUACAAGUCUCCUGGAAUGGAGCAUCAUAGAGGGUGAGAAUCCCGUCUUUGACAUGGACUACCAGGGCUUUGUGAUGCGCUCUCAAAGAGUCGAGUUGUUUGGGAAUGCAGCUCAAAAUGGGUGGUAAAUUCCAUCUAAAGCUAAAUAUUGGCGAGAGACCGAUAGCGAACAAGUACCGUGAGGGAAAGAUGAAAAGAACUUUGGAAAGAGAGUUAAACAGUACGUGAAAUUGCUGAAAGGGAAACGCUUGAAGUCAGUCGCGUCAUCCAGGGAUCAACCUUGCUUUUGCUUGGUGCACUUUCUGGUUUGAUGGGUCAGCAUCAAUUUUGACCAUUGGAAAAAGGUCAAGGGAAUGUGGCAUCUUUGGAUGUGUUAUAGCCCUUGGUCACAUACAAUGGUUGGGAUUGAGGAACUCAGCACGCCGCAAGGCCGGGUUUUAAACCACGUUCGUGCUUAGGAUGCUGGCAAUAUGGCUUUAAUCGACCCGUCUUGAAACACGGACCAAGGAGUCUAACAUGCCUGCGAGUGUUUGGGUGGAAAACCCGAGCGCGUAAUGAAAGUGAAAGGUUGAGAUCCCUGUCGUGGGGAGCAUCGACGCCCGGACCAGACCUUUUGUGACGGUUCCGCGGUAGAGCAUGUAUGUUGGGACCCGAAAGAUGGUGAACUAUGCCUGAAUAGGGUGAAUCCAGAGGAAACUCUGGUGGAGGCUCGUAGCGAUUCUGACGUGCAAAUCGAUCGUCAAAUUUGGGUAUAGGGGCGAAAGACUAAUCGAACCAUCUAGUAGCUGG
rnacentral:rRNA from 1 species